CCUACGGGGGGCUGCAGUGAGGAAUAUUGGUCAAUGGGCGGGAGCCUGAACCAGCCAAGUCGCGUGAGGGACGACGGUCCUAUGGAUUGUAAACCUCUUUUGUCGGGGAACAAAGGCGCCCACGGGUGGGCGGAUGAGUGUACCCGAAGAAAAAGCAUCGGCUAACUCCGUGCCAGCAGCCGCGGUAAUACGGAAGGUCCGGGCGUUAUCCGGAUUUAUUGGGUUUAAAGGGAGCGUAGGCCGGCUUUUAAGUCAGCUGUGAAAGUCCGCGGCUCAACCGUGGAAUUGCAGUUGAAACUGGAGGCCUUGAGUGCACACAGGGAUGCCGGAAGUCAUGGUGUAGCGGUGAAAUGCUUAGAUAUCAUGAAGAACUCCGAUCGCGAAGGCAAGUGGCCGGGGUGCAACUGACGCUGAGGCUCGAAAGUGCGGGUAUCAAACAGGAUUAGAUACCCCAGUAGUC
rnacentral:rRNA from 1 species